GAUGAACGCUAGCGGCAGGCUUAAUACAUGCAAGUCGAGGGGCAGCGCGGUAGCAAUACUGGCGGCGACCGGCAAACGGGUGCGGAACACGUACAGAACCUUCCUUUAAGCGGGGGAUAGCCCAUAGAAAUGUGGAUUAAUACCCCAUAGCAAUAUUUAAUGGCAUCAUUAGAUAUUUAAAGAUUUAUCACUUAAAGAUGGCUGUGCGGCUGAUUAGGUAGUUGGUGCGGGUAACGGCCCACCAAGCCAGCGAUCAGUAACUGGUGUGAGAGCACGACCAGUCACACGGGCACUGAGACACGGGCCCGACUCCUACGGGAGGCAGCAGUAAGGAAUAUUGGUCAAUGGACGCAAGUCUGAACCAGCCAUGCCGCGUGAAGGAUGAAGGCCCUCUGGGUUGUAAACUUCUUUUAUCUGGGAAGAAAUGCCUGUUUUCUAACGGGUUUGACGGUACAGAGGAAUAAGCACCGGCUAACUCCGUGCCAG
rnacentral:rRNA from 1 species